GCCGCUCGAAUCGCUGUCUCAGUUGAGCGCCGUGGCUCGCAUCGCGACCACUCGGAGGGACGAGAAAACCCGCUCGUUGUCAGCUGCCCUGGAACGACGGCAUUGAGCAGAAGCGACGUUGUGACGACGCCGAUUGUGGACGGAGUCGACGAACUCUCGCUGCUCGGCGCACCGACCGAUGUUUAGUUCAUCGCGUGCUCUGAAGAAGGACCGUCGCCCGGAACGUCGCCGACUCAACAAACACCACCACCAGCAGGCAGACACACACACACACACGGCGUCGUCAUCAUUAUUGACGAAGUGUCUUCCCGAUCGGCUCGGCGAGCCGUGCCGGCGCACGCGAACAACAUUCGGCAAGGCAGGAAUACCUCGAUGGCCGUGAUGGUAAUUGGUAAUUAGACGCGCGGUGGUGGCGGUGCUGGUGGUCCUGUGGGGGUGAGGAUCGCCCCGUGGGGCUGAGCGACGCUCCUCACUCGGCUUACGCAAAGCGUUGGAUGCACGCAGAGCAACAGCUGGUGACGGGAAGCUGAAGAGGGAGGAGGUGGAGGAGGAGGUGGAGGAGGUGGAGGGCGAAGCAGGAAAGGAGACGGGAAGUCUCGUGGCGAGGAGGAGGACGAGAGUCGAUUGACUGCGGAAUGUCCGGUCAGAGGAGGUGGCUGUUGAAGAUUCUCGAGGGUGUCAGAAGAUCUUAAGGAGGUGUCGGAAGAUCUUGAGGAGGCCUCUGAGGACCUCUGAGGAGGUGUUGGGAGACCUUGAGGAGGUGUCGGAAUCACCUUGAGGACCUCUGAGGACCUCUGAGGAGGUGUUGGGAGACCUUGAGGAGGUGUCGGAAUCACCUUGAGGACCUCUGAGGACCUCUGAGGAGGUGUUGGGAGACCUUGAGGAGGUGUUGGAAUCACCUUGAAGAGCUCUGAGGACCUCUUAGGAGGUGUUGGGAGACCUUGAGGAGGUGUCGGAAUCACCUUGAGGACCUCUGAGGACCUCUGAGGAGGUGUUUGUAGAUCUUGACACGAAGUAUUGGAUGGGCUUUGAGCGCGUUGAACGAGUAAUUUGAGGAGGUCGUUCCAGGACAUUGAGGAACCUUGAGGAGCCUUGAAGAACUAUUUGAAGGGACCACGGGAAUGACUUGGGCUCGAGAAGAUGACGAGACCGUGACGUCGCACGCCGCACGUGGACACCCACGGCGAUGAUUGAACUCCUCGCCACCGCUCGGGGUUGAACUCGGACUUGAGCCCCGCGCGCUCCAAGAGCGCGCACCGCCCACGUCGCUAGCGGUGCCAGGCUAGGUGCACCCUCAAGGCCGUGAGGCCGUGCGAAGGCUCUGCUGCUGCUGCUGCUGCCGCUGUUGGCAGGGGGGAGGAUCACGGCACAACCCAACCCAAGAUGCGGGAGACGUCACCGCAGCGCUAGCGGUGCCAGGCUAGGUGCACCCUCAAGGCCGCGAAGCGUGCCAAGGCUCUCUGCUGCUGCUGGGAGGAGGAGGGGGGGUCGCGCGAGACAGACACCGCAGGUGAAAUGGGUUGAGUGGCCGAGUCGAGCGGCAGAUGCACCAACACCUGUGGAGUGCUACACCCCAUCCCCGCCCGCCCCUCGACUGUGCCAACUCACCUGCGUUUUAUGCGCCCGCGGGCUUCCGGCUCGUUGUUGUGAGCGCCGCAGCUCCACCACCCCUCGCUGUUUGCCGGAGGGCGACUUCCCUGCAACUGCCCACACAAGACAAAGAUCCCCCGCAUAGCCUGCAAAGGGCUGUCGGGGCAAGUGCUGUGACGCUCACAACACACAA